rnacentral:rRNA from 1 species
UACAGAGGUCCCAAGCGUUGUUCGGAUUCACUGGGCGUAAAGGGUGCGUAGGUGGUGAGGUAAGUCGGAUGUGAAAUCUCCGAGCUCAACUCGGAAACUGCAUUGGAAACUACCUUGCUCGAGGGUUGGAGGGGGGACUGGAGUGCUUGGUGUAGCAGUGAAAUGCGUAGAUAUCAAGCGGAACACCAGUGGCGAAGGCGAGUCCCUGGACAACUCCUGACACUGAGGCACGAAAGCUAGGGGAGCAAACAGG